ACCUCACCUCGCCCCCGCCGCCAUCUUCCUCCUGCCUCGGCAGCCCCGCCCCCGCUAGUACAUGGACAGUUUGGAUUGGCCGGUGCGGAACUCUGACGCGGCCUCUGGGUCCGAGGAUGUGGCCUAACCCGGCGCGGCGAGGGAGGGCGAGCGCCUGAGAACUAAGGGGGCCGGAGGCCGAGCGCGCCCCCUAGUAGUGUGGAGGGCGAGGAGCAGACGCCACCAGUCCUUGCCCGCAGGACCUCAGAAAGGCAUUAAAUGGACCCUUGUGCCCAAGAUGACGGCCCCUUCUCCAACUCCAAUGACACUCAACCUACACCUGCCUUCUGGGAUCACGAAGCAUGACCUCAUAGUCUAUAUUUCACGCUUACCUUCUAAGUUUCACCUGCCCUAUAGCUCAACGUUGCCCUCUAGCUGCCUUCUCAGAUUAGUAGCUAAAUACCUGAUUUUUAAAAAAUCUCUACUCAGAUGUAAGUGAUGCUCACAUUGUCUCAUGAUCUUCUUGGAGGACAUCCAGCUCUCCCCUUGUCGUUCAGCUGGUGCAGCACAUUGUCCUCCCCUCACAUCCGUGCCCUUGGCCUUCAGGAUCUCCCUCACUCUUACGAGACUACAGGUGCAAUUCCACGGAUUUCCAUCCAGAUACAGGUGUCUGAGGCGAGGCAACCCCUCCAAGACUUUGAGGUCUAAAGCAGAAAUCUUGUUGUUCCUAAGGUUUAGAACCUGAAGCUGCUUUAGAUCCUUGAGUUCCAUCUCAGCAAUAUUCUGGAUGGCAUUGCCUUUUAGGUCCAGCCUGGCUAAGGUCCCUGGAAGCCUGCAAAAGCAUGGAAACAGGAUGGGAGAGGAAGCCAUGACCACCAUUCCAUAUCUACCAACGCAACUCAGAAUGAGCAACACCAGCCUUUUCUGUACCAUCGUGUCCUGGUGGAAGCUAGAAAACAAGCUCCGUUUUGAAAAAUUAAGUCUUAUGUAUGGGUCUUUAACCUUUCUCAUAGGUCUUGUCUUCUAACCCUCUGAGUCUUCUGGUUCCUAGCCAUAAGACUCAUUUCUUGUCUUGUCAAACAGGAUCAUGUAAACAAAUCAAUAAGAAAAAAGUUGCCAAUUUUUACUUGGAAAAGGCCAUGAGUCCAUAAUUUAUAGGAGAAGUAAGAGUAUGGAAUAAAAACAUGAAAAAGUGUGGUUCUUGGGGCACCUAGGUAGCUCAGUCCUUAAGUGUCUGCCUUCCACUCAGGUCAUGAUCCCAUGGUCCUGGGAUCGAGCCCCACAUCAGGCUCCCUGCUCAGCGGGAAGCCUGCUUCUCCCUCUCUCACUCCCCCUGCUUGUG